AGUGAAUUUCGAAGCUUGCUCUCCCAAAGGAGCUUUCUAGCUACUGACCUCGUGGAGGACCCUUCCGGCCAAGCACAUCCAUCAACGGAGGUCGAAUUCUAGCAGCGAAUGAGAAUAGAGGGUGCAAGUGGCCGAAGAGGAAGGGAAUUCUGUAAGUGAAGAAAUUCUCUUCAUCACGAGAUCCGGUCUUCAAGCCAGCAACCAGAGCAGGAGUCAUCUUCUUAUCAGAGCGCAGACUAGCCACGGAGCUAGUCAAAAAAAAAGAGAUCAGAGUCAAUUGCGGUCGCCUGGGCUAUUUCACUCUGCCACAGGUCGAAAAAGGGCUUUUUACUCCAUGAAGGAAGACACGGGAUAUGACACUCCGAAACUCUGCCUUCUUAAAAUGGCAACCAAAUUCAGGUAGAACUGUUGCAAGAAGUGCACAUGUUGUUGAAACAUCUCUCGUAGACUUUGCCUAUGUUGGAUCUUUGAUGGAAUAAACCUAUUUCAUGAAAGGGGAGGGGCUGAGAGCCCAUGAUUCGAUGCUGCCAGCUAGCCCGCCUUUCUAUCCGCUGCUG
rnacentral:lncRNA from 1 species